rnacentral:misc_RNA from 1 species
GAUGAAGAACGUAGCGAAAUGCGAUAAGUAAUGUGAAUUGCAGAAUUCAGUGAAUCAUCGAAUCUUUGAACGCACCUUGCGCCCUUUGGCCAUUCCGAAGGGCAUGCCUGUUUGAGUAUCAUGAACACCUCAACUCUCAUGGCUUGCCAUGAUGAGCUUGGACUUUGGGGGUCUUGCUGGCCUGUGGUCGGCUCCUCUCAAAUGAAUCAGCUUGCCAGUGUUUGGUGGCAUCACAAGUGUGAUAACUAUCUGCGCUCGUGGUUUCCAUCAGAUAACCUCCAGUGAUGGAGGUUCGCUGGAGCUCAUAAAUGUCUCUCCUAAGCGAGGACAGCUCUUUUAAUGUUUGAUCUCAAAUCAGGUAGGACUACCCGCUGAACUUAAGCAUAUCAAUAAGGGAGGA